CCUACGGGUGGCAGCAGUGAGGAAUAUUGGUCAAUGGGCGCGAGCCUGAACCAGCCAAGUCGCGUGAGGGAAGACGGCCCUACGGGUUGUAAACCUCUUUUGCCGGGGAGCAACGCGCGCCACGUGUGGCGCCCCUGAGAGUACCCGGAGAAAAAGCAUCGGCUAACUCCGUGCCAGCAGCCGCGGUAUUACGGGGGAUGCGAGGGUUUUCCGGAUUUAUUGGGUUUAACGGGUCGGUAGGCGGCGCGUUAAGUCAGUGGUCAAAUUGAGGGGCUCAACCCCUUCCCGCCAUUGAAACUGGCGCUCUUGAGUUGAAGAGAAGUAUGCGGAAUGCGUGGUGUAGCGGUGAAAUGCAUAGAUAUCACGCAGAACCCCGAUUGCGAAGGCAGCAUGCCGGCUUCCUACUGACGCUGAAGCACGAAAGCGUGGGGAUCGAACAGGAUUAGAUACCCCAGUAGUC
rnacentral:rRNA from 1 species